CGGUGUUUAACUGGCGUGAUGUGGGACGUCCUACCGGUGGGCUUAGCCUCGCGAGGGGCGGCCCAACUAAUAUCCCGUCGCGGUGCUCUUUACUGAGUGUCGAGUCGGGCCGGUACGUUUACUUUGAACAAAUUAGAGUGCUUAAAGCAGGCUAUCCUCGCCUGAAUACUGCGUGCAUGGAAUAAUGGAAUAGGACCUCGGUUCUAUUUUGUUGGUUUUCGGAACCCCGAGGUAAUGAUUAAUAGGGACAGAUGGGGGCAUUCGUAUUGCGACGUUAGAGGUGAAAUUCUUGGAUCGUCGCAAGACGGACAGAAGCGAAAGCAUUUUGCCAAAAAUGUUUUCAUUAAUCAAGAACGAAAGUUAGAGGUUCGAAGGCGAUCAGAUACCGCCCCUAGUUCUAACCAUAAACGAUGCCAGCUAGCGAUCCGCCGAAGUUCCUCCGAUGACUCGGGCGGGGCAGCUUCCGGGAAACCAAAGCUUUUGGGUUCCGGGGGAAGUAUGGUUGCAAAGCUGAAACUUAAAGGAAUUGACGGAAGGGCACCACCAGGAGUGGAGCCUGCGGCUUAAUUUGACUCAACACGGGAAACCUCACCAGGCCCAGACACCGGAAGGAUUGACAGAUUGAUAGCUCUUUCUUGAUUCGGUGGGUGGUGGUGCAUGGCCGUUCUUAGUUGGUGGAGCGAUUUGUCUGGUUAAUUCCGAUAACGAACGAGACUCUAGCCUGCUAAAUAGGCGUACCUUAUGGUAUCGCGAAGGCCCCCGGCUUCGGCCGGUGGGUUUUUACUACCAACGUACAAACAAAUCUUCUUAGAGGGACAGGCGG
rnacentral:rRNA from 1 species